GUGGGGAAUAUUGGACAAUGGGCGCAAGCCUGAUCCAGCCAUGCCGCGUGAGUGAUGAAGGCCUUAGGGUUGUAAAGCUCUUUUGUCCGGGAAGAUAAUGACUGUACCGGAAGAAUAAGCCCCGGCUAACUUCGUGCCAGCAGCCGCGGUAAUACGAAGGGGGCUAGCGUUGCUCGGAAUCACUGGGCGUAAAGGGCGCGUAGGCGGACUCUUAAGUCGGGGGUGAAAGCCCAGGGCUCAACCCUGGAAUUGCCUUCGAUACUGAGAGUCUUGAGUUCGGAAGAGGUUGGUGGAAUUGCGAGUGUAGAGGUGAAAUUCGUAGAUAUUCGCAAGAACACCAGUGGCGAAGGCGGCCAACUGGUCCGAUACUGACGCUGAGGCGCGAAAGCGUGGGGAGCAAACAGGAUUAGAAACCCCGGUAGUCC
rnacentral:rRNA from 1 species